CUGGGCUUUGGCUUCUCCAUUUCAUGAGUUCUACCCAUCACCACCCUCCAGCUUCCAAAUGGGGAGGACAAUCCUGGCUACAAGUUCUAGAUAUGGUCAGCAAAAUCCUUCAGAAGGCCCUGGAUGUGAAAACAUCCAUCUUUUUCUAUCAUGGUUCCUGGAGCUGAAACAGCUCCUGUGGUGGUUUCUGUGUUCAUGGGCUGGGGCUGCUGCCACCAGGAGGUUCCAGGCUUCCAGAGAAGGGUAGAACCCUUUCCCAUUUAAUUUCCAUUAGUCCAGAUGACUUUGUUAUUGACAUCUUGAAAGAACAGACAUACCACAGCCUGAACACCCAGGUGGCCUAGUGAGAAUUCAUUUCUAAUUGCUUAUUCAUUCACUGUUGCAGGAGAAAGAGUUCCAGAUAUUUCAUUUGAGGAGCAUUAUUUAAACCCUUUUUUCUCCAAUUAUUAGGUAAAUAAGAGAACACAUAGUUUAAAUACUGUGUACAACUCCAUGAUAAAUAGGCCUUCUUGGGACAGAAUUGUCAUUAUCAAUCUCAAUUCUCACCUCAGGCUGAGACUGACAAAAUGUCUUAAACUUAUAAGAAAUUCAUUCAGUUUCCUGGAGCCCCUGAGGUUUGAGUCUUCAGGAUGGGAAGUUUUCAUAACAAAAGUUAUAGUAAUAUGAACUUCAAUUUCCUGUUUUAAAAGCACCAAUUUUCAUAUAAGCCCAUGACUCCACCUGGAACUUGAAGGAAAUGGUCAAAUGCUGCAGAAGAAAAGCUACGAGCCACAGGGAUAGUCUAGAGGGAGAUUAUGAAGCCCCUGGAAUGUUACUGGGUAAAAAUACAGCCAGGUAUUGAGCAUAAUUGGUACUAACAUGUAUUAUUUCCCUGGGCAGAGUCUGGUGUUGUUUGAUUCUUCUCAGUAGCCAGCACAAAAAUGCCCUGGACAUGAGGCACAAGAGGAGUAUAAAUAAUAUCAAUGAUUUAGGCACUGACCAUAUGGGAGCAGACCCAAAGCUAGAGCAAGAUGAGUCGAUCUGCUGCAGAGGAGGGAACUGUGCCAGCCUGUGCUGAGGAAAUGGCCUGAGAGCUGAUCCUGUUCGUGGGGACCAGAUGAUAUGGGUCAAGUCCAAGUCUCCUACUCAUCCCUGCUGUGCCCCUCCUCAUUGGAGCUCCGAGGGGAGUGCAACCAACAUGUGAGUCCAUCAGCUCUCCUGCACACUGCUCCACUCUACCCACACUUCCCACAUGGAAGCAAUUCACCAUCUCGUCAUUGGAGCAGACAGGAUGGAAAUUGCUGUUUGAUGCCACCUCCCUCGCUCCUGCAAAUCAGAGAUAAAAUCCAACAGCGUUUCCUGUCUUUCAGUAUAGGAAAAUCAACAAUAAAACUUAACAUUG